GCUGUAACUCAGGCUUCCAGGAUUUAAGGGGUCAGAUGCCUCUAACUCCAAGUGAUGGUAACACACCUUCUACUCCAGGUGCCUCCCAUUGUGGUCAGAUACCUCCAACUCUAGGUGCUUCCCAUUUUGGACAGACACCUCCGACUCUCGAAGACUUUCCCUGUGGUCAGAUACCUGCCUUGAAGUGCCUCCCAUUGUGGUCAGACACAUCCAAAUCCAGAUGCAACAUAGUACCCCCAGGCUUACGGCACUUACUUUCGUAA
rnacentral:lncRNA from 1 species